rnacentral:lncRNA from 1 species
AUUUAUUAUUAGAUACCUGUGGAGUUUAAUAAAAAUAUACUUUAUGUCACCCUUGUUGUUAACAGUGAAAAUUCUCUCUCUUUUUUUUUAAUCUCACCCUGUGAAAUAAAACUCUUAUUUUUUUUUCUAGGAAGCAAAUACAUAGAUUGUGUUUCUAAACCAAAGGAGCUCAUGCUUGCUGGAGCAGACUUUUGGAAGUGAUGUUGGCUUCUUAAAGGUCUCCUUGCUGGUGAGCAGUAGGAGACAGGGUCUGCCUCACUCCCCAGCCCAUGGAUAAAAUCAUAAUAUUUUCAGUACCAUGGUAAAUUCUGUCCUGGCUUUUGGUACAAAAAAUAAAGGGAAGAGGAAAGAAUGUGAAGUGGGAGCAGCGUGCCAAAGCCUGAAAUGAAUUUCUUCCCUGAUGAGGAAGGUGAAGAAUUUGCUUGGUUGUCACUGCAGAAGAUGGAGAACUUCUCCAGGGAAGAUGGAAGGUCCAGACUGAGCAAGGAAUUUACAGAAAGGAUGGUGUGAGCCAAACUCUAUCCUGCCCUGGAAAGGAUUGUUUCCAUUCACAUUUAGCAGAAUUCCAUGGAGGGCACGGAAAGUUUGCAUGGAAGCAGCAUCAUCGUGCACCAGGCAUCAGUGGUGUGCCAGGAGACAACUCUGGAGAUGUGGCAUGUCCAGGCUGCCGAUUUCUGACUGGCUCAGCAGGGAAUUGUGCAGGAAUAACUCCCAAAAGGUGCCUUGGCAUCCUUCCCCACCCUCUGCCUUUAUUUGGAUGGUUCCAUCAUUGCUCUUGAGUUCACUUUGUGCCAGCGGGUCUCACGUACCUCAGGAGAGGUUUGGAUGGUGA